rnacentral:rRNA from 1 species
UACGUAGGGUGCAAGCGUUGUCCGGAAUUAUUGGGCGUAAAGAGCUCGUAGGUGGCCUGUCGCGUCGGCUGUGAAAAACUCGGGGCUCAACUCCGAGCUUGCAGUCGAUACGGGCAGGCUAGAGUUCGGCAGGGGGAGGACUGGAAUUCCUGGUGUAGCGGUGAAAUGCGCAGAUAUCAGGAGGAACACCGGUGGCGAAAGGCGGGUCUCUGGGCCGAUACUGACACUGAGGAGCGAAAGCGGUGGGGAGCGAACAGGG